UUGGCCGUGCAGUUGCUGUGGCAGAUGCAGCCCCUACUGGCCUCGAGUGCUGAGUGGGAGGGCAAGGGAUGGCUACUUCUAUUCAGCACUGCCAUGCAGAGAACUACUGGUGAGGACUGCAGUUCUGAGGACCCCCCUGAUGAGCUUGGGUGCUCUCUUGCUGAAUGGGCCUUAAGGGUGAAAGCUGUUAAACUGGAGAAGGAAGUCCAGGAUUUAACGAUGAGAUACCAGAGAGCUGUAGCUGACUGUGAAAACAUAAGGAGGGGAACCCAGAGAUGUGUGGAAAACUCCAAGAUAUUUAGAAUCCAGAGUUUCUGUAAGAUCUUGGUGGAGGUGUCC
rnacentral:lncRNA from 1 species